AGCAGUCGCCGCGGGAAUACGUAGGUCCCGAGCGUUGUCCGGAUUUAUUGGGCGUAAAGGGAGCGCAGGCGGUUUAGUAAGUCUGAAGUUAAAGGCAUUGGCUCAACCAAUGUAUGCUUUGGAAACUGUUAGACUUGAGUGCAGAAGGGGAGAGUGGAAUUCCAUGUGUAGCGGUGAAAUGCGUAGAUAUACGGAGGAACACCGGUGGCGAAAGCGGCUCUCUGGUCUGUCACUGACGCUGAGGCUCGAAAGCGUGGGUAGCGAACAGGAUUAGAUACCCCAGUAGUCCCUGUCUCUUAUACA
rnacentral:rRNA from 1 species